rnacentral:rRNA from 1 species
GACGAACGCUGGCGGCGUGCUUAACACAUGCAAGUCGAACGGAAAGGCCCUGCUUUUGUGGGGUGCUCGAGUGGCGAACGGGUGAGUAACACGUGAGUAACCUGCCCUUGACUUUGGGAUAACUUCAGGAAACUGGGGGUAAUACCGGAUAGGAGCUCCUGCUGCAUGGUGGGGGUUGGAAAGUUUCGGCGGUUGGGGAUGGACUCGCGGCUUAUCAGAUUGUUGGUGGGGUAGUGGCUUACCAAGGCUUUGACGGGUAGCCGGCCUGAGAGGGUGACCGGCGACAUUGGGACUGAGAUACGGCCCAGACUCCUACGGGAGGCAGCAGUGGGGAAUAUGGCACAAGGGGCGGAAGCCUGAUGCAGCAACGCCGCGUGCGGGAUGACGGCCUUCGGGUUGUAAACCGCUUUCGCCUGUGACGAAGCGUGAGUGACGGUAAUGGGUAAAGAAGCACCGGCUAACUACGUG